CCUAGUCCCUGAGACCCUAACUUGUGAGGUAUUUAGUAACAUCACAAGUCAGGCUCUUGGGACCUAGGC
ensembl:miRNA microRNA 125b-2